UACAUGGGGGUGCAAACGUUUGCUCGGAAUUAUUGGGCGUAAAGCGCACGUAGGCGGUUCGUUAAGUCGGAUGUGAAAGCCCUCGGCUCAACUGAGGAAGUGCACCCGAAACUGGCGAGCUUGAGUACGAAAAGAGGAUCGCGGAAUUCCCGGUGUAGAGGUGAAAUUCGUAGAUAUCGGGAGGAACACCGGUGGCGAAGGCGGCGAUCUGGGUCGAUACUGACGCUGAGGUGCGAAAGCGUGGGGGAGCAAACAGG
rnacentral:rRNA from 1 species